CACUCUUCUGCCCACUGCCCACCCUUGUCGUGCUGCAUCCUUGGCAGCUUGAUCUGCUAGAUGAUUGCCUCGUGCUUCUUCUGAGUUCAGUCUUCCAUGGGCCUUUACUUUAAGCACUGCUACCUCUGCUGGCAGUAUCAAGGCGUCCAUUAGUUCUUUGAUGGCUAGGCCAUGUUUCACUGGGGUUCCAGCAGCUGUGAGGAAUCCUCGGGUUUUCC